GAGGAGGCGGGCCCGGCCGGCCCCCCGGGCCGUCCCCCUGUGCUCGUCCCGCCUGGCCCGGGGGACGCGGCUGCAGGCGCGGCGCGAGCGCCUGCAGGCUCGGCUCUGGGGCGCUGUCGCUGCUGCCUGUCCCCGCCCCGACCCCAGGGUUCCCUGGAGCGCUCAGAGGCCUGCUGGCCCCGCCGCUGUGCCACCCUGCGUUACCACGGGAGCCAAAACAGGUCCCAAGCCCCGGGAUCGUGGGGCUUCAGCUGUAGCGGGGAAGACAGACAGACAAGCAAGUAUCAGUCAUUGCAGUGAGUGCUAGAAGGACCGGCCCAGAGCUGACGCCAUCUACCAGAGACCUCUGUCUAUCCCCGGGUCCCAGGGGCCCGUGCAGGGAAGCGAUGUUUGAGCUGAGACUUGAAGGAGUAAGGGGGAGGAAGAGGGUCUGGUGAGGUCGGAGGAGACCCUCUACACCUUAGUAAGAUUGCUUUAUCCUUAACCGAAGAUGCAUGCAAAGCUACUGAAGGAUUUUAAGCCCAGCAAUCACCGUAAGAGCAGACAUUUAUUUGGAAUUUACAUGACUCUAAGCACUGUACAUGGAAUAACAAUGACAAUAGCAAAUCUGCUUAAUAUGUGCCAAGCACUUUGCAGAUGUGAAGUCAUUUAGUCUUCAUAGCAGCCUUUCCACCAUGUGCAAGUGUAAAAUCCUCAUUUUGCAGAAGAGGAAACUGAGGCACAGACUCUCUGAGGUCGGGGAUUCUACCACAGAGUUCUGCACUGUGCCUUACUGAAACGAGUGCUGGAUUUGCAGUAAAAAUUGAAUUUGAAUUCGACCUCUACUAGGCCUUAUAAAGCUGUGAAGUACCUACUUCAGGAUGGUACAGCUUGUUUAAAAUAUAAGGUGCCCAGAAGAAAAGGGAUCUAAAACUAAAAGUGUUUCCUCUGGCAAAAGUGCAGUGGGCCCAAGAGAAAUUCUCGCGACAGCCUGGAGAGAAUUCAGGGGAGGCUUUGUUGAGCUCCCGGAAAAGCAAACACAUAAUUAUAAUGGAGGUAAAUGGACUGAAAGCCAAGUCAAAGAGGCAGAUCGGCUUCACCAGGAGAGGCACUCACUUCUGCAAAGACAGCAGGAUAAAGAGAACUAGCCUCUCGACCUGGACAAGAGGUGCCUACAACCGUGGGCUGAAAGAGUGUGGAGAACUGUUGACACUGCAGGCAAAAAGAAUGUUAUCAAAGUUCUGUUCAAGUCAAAGGCCUGACACGGAGGCUAAGGAGAGCUCACUGCCUCAAAGAAGAGCCUGCCUGGAGAGAUUUCUUCACGCUACAAACCUCUGUAAAUGUCCUUUCAACGAUUCUGUUUAAAAAAAAAAGGAAUAACCUUAGAUCAAAGUUAGGGCAAGAGUUUCCACAACAGCGAAGCCCACAAUGCCGCAAGGGGGAGAUUAGAGUGAAAUUUUUACGUGAAAAUGUUUCAAGUAUUUAGAAGCUCUUAUGGAAGUAAAAAACACCACAAUGGACAAAUGAUGUGAAUAAAAAUUCACAGAAGAGGUAGCAGUGGCCAAUAAAUAAGAAAAAGGAGGGUUAGCUUCAUUGAUUGCAUUAAAGAAAUGCAAAAUAGGGGUUGACCCUGUGGCCUAGUGGUUAAGUUUGGUGUGCUCCGCUUAGGCUGCCUGGGUUCGUGGGUUCAGAUCCCAGGCACAGACCUACACCACUUGUCAGCCAUGCUGCGGCAGCAUCCCACAUAUAAAGUAGAGGAAGAUUGGCAUAGAUGUUAGCUCAGGGCUAAUCUUCCUCAGCAAAAAACAGAAAGAAAGAAAGAAAUACAAAAUAAAACCAAAGACAAUAUUACCUAUUAAAGUUGCAUGUUUUUAAAUAAAUAAAAGUUCUCAAUGUGGGUAGAAUGGUGGGGAAAUGAGUACUCUUCUAUCCUGUUGGUGGAAUUGUUAGAUCUUUCUAGAGGACAAUUUGGCAACAUAUAUCCAAAGCCUAAAAGAGUUUAAAUCCUCUAGCCUAAUAAUUUUAUUUCUAGGGAUUAUCCUAAACAAAUACUUAAAUUUGCAUCAAUGAUUUUUGUUCAAAGGUAUUAAUUGCAGCAAUAUAUUUAAGAAUGAAAAUUUGGAAAACACACAGCUGGUGAAUAGUUAAUAAAAAAAAUACACUAGAAUAUUGGGUAACCAAAAAAACUUAUUAUAAAAUUUAAAUUUACUUAAAGAAGCAAUGUAUGCACACUAUAAGAUUUUUUAACUCUCUGAAGGUAAUAGCCACUGUUAAUAGUUUCUUUUGUUUCUUCAAGAAGUCUUUUUUAAGACAUUUUUGAUCUAUACAUUUGCUAUUUACAUCUAUCUGUGUAUAUACUAUCUCUAUAUCUAUCUAUCUAUCUAUUUAUCUAUCUAUCUACCUGGCCCACUGCUUGUCUUUGUAAAUAAAAUUUUAUUAGAACCCAAUCACAGCCAUUUGUUUAUGUGCUGUCUAUGGCAACAUUCCAGUUGCAAUGGCAGAGUUGAAUAGUUGUGGCAGAGACCAUAAGGCUAAAAAUAUGUAAUAUCUGACUGUUUACAGAAAGUUUGCCAACCCCUGCACAAUACCCUGAUUAGCAUGUGAGCUCAGUGAGCUUUUUGUCUGCCUUGUUUGCUGUUGUAUUCCCAACGCCUAGAACAGUGCCUGGCACAUUGUAGGUGCUUACUAAAUAUUUGUCUGAUGAAUGCAUAGGAUCAGUUGCUCCUGUUAAUGUACAUUCAUGUGGUUUCUACAUUUAGUGGGUAUUUUAGUAUUACAAAUAAUGCUGUAAUGAAGACAGAUCUUUGCUUACUUCUCCAAUUAUAUCAGAAACAGUAUUUUGAAAAAUAUUUAGUGAC
rnacentral:lncRNA from 1 species